GAGGACAGGUUGAAAGUAAUUUUCAACAAUUAACUGUCACUUUCACUCAGAAUCAGAUUUCCAAUCUCUGGAGGGAAUUCAUGACUUCGUAUUUAGUCACUUAGACUCUUGAAGGCUCACUCAAAGAAAGAGCAAUGUAAUACUAUAGACUGAACAGCUUUAAGAUGCAAAACAAUACAAAAACUCCCCCAAACCAAACCUGACCAGCCACAAAUUAAAAUGCAGGCAAAACAGAAACAUAUCUAUUUGCAUCCUACUCAAAAGGUGGCAAUUUCAAUACUUUUAACUUCUAAAACAACCCUCAUUCAUCUGACCAAAGACAAAAGUAGGAGGCUCUUGUGAGUUCAUUUUGAUUUUUAUUACACACCACAGAUAUGUACACUAACCAGAGAGUAGGAUGCUUCUUUGUACUCUCAAAAUCACAGGAAAUGUAUUUCUACCUACCCUCUUUUUUGCAAUACUUUAGUGGCAUUUCAGACUACCAUCUUGGAACUGGUUUAGGGCCAAGUAAAGGAAAUCAUGGAAGGCAAUAUAUAUAGCACAAUCAUGAGCUAUUUUUGGAAGCUAGUAGUAUCUACUACUUCUAUAGCAGUAGAAGCUAGUAGCUAGUAGUUAUUCUCAGGCAGACUGAGAGUAACAAGGCUG
rnacentral:lncRNA from 1 species